rnacentral:rRNA from 1 species
UACGAAGGGGGGCUAGCGUUGCUCGGAAUCACUGGGCGUAAAGCGCACGUAGGCGGCUUUUUAAGUCAGGGGUGAAAUCCUGGAGCUCAACUCCAGAACUGCCUUUGAUACUGAGAGGCUCGAGUCCGGGAGAGGUGAGUGGAACUGCGAGUGUAGAGGUGAAAUUCGUAGAUAUUAGGAAGAACACCAGCGGCGAAGGCGGCUCACUGGUCCGGUACUGACGCUGAGGUGCGAAAGCGUGGGGAGCAAACAGG